UGAAAAUAUCCUGAACUAUAAAGGAAGAAUAAUCAAGCUCAAACUUAUCCUUAAUUGACCUUUGCAUUUCUAACCCUGCCACAGGCUUGAGAAAAGUGCAGAGCAAGCAGAAUGGACAAUAACGUUUGGAUACAGAGAGUGACCAAAAUACUCUUUGCAAGCUCUCAGGGAAAGAUCAGUGGGGUGCUGUGAUAUCACUGGCAUUUUCUUUCUCACCUCCCUUGUGAAAUCCCCAAAUCUGCUGUGAGGGCAACCUGAGAAACAGCCAAAUGGAAAGUGGUUUUCUCGAAUCAUUCAGGUUAUAAGCAGGAUCGCCGGGCGAGGAAGGAGGCGGCUUCCCGAG